GACAGAGGGGGCAAGCGUUGCUCGGAAUCACUGGGCGUAAAGGGCGCGUAGGCGGGAUGGCAAGUCAGUCGUGAAAUCUCUCGGCUCAACCGAGAAACGUCGGCUGAUACUGCCGUUCUUGAGGGAUGCAGAGGAGACUGGAAUUCCCGGUGUAGCGGUGAAAUGCGUAGAUAUUGGGAGGAACACCAGUGGCGAAGGCGGCUCACUGGACCGGAACUGACGCUGAGGCGCGAAAGCGUGGGGAGCAAACA
rnacentral:rRNA from 1 species